AUGAGAAGGCUAAGAAAAGGAGCUGGAAAGACAAAAUUAGAACAAGCACAUAAGAGGAACAACUCCAAGACAGUGGAGGCUCUGAAGCUAUGGAAGAUCGAAGAGAGCAGCUCAGAAUUCACCUUGUACGACUUCCCUGAGCUCGCUGCUGCCACGGACAAUUUCUCCGAAGAGAACAAGCUCGGACAAGGCGGCUUCGGUCCGGUGUACAAGGGAAUGUUUUGUGAUGGAACCGAGGUGGCGGUGAAGAGGCUCGCGGCGCAGUCUGGGCAGGGGCUUGUUGAGUUCAAGAACGAGAUCCAGCUCAUUGCCAAGCUGCAGCACACGAACCUCGUCAAGCUCGUGGGUUGCUGCGUGCAGGAGGAGGAGAAGAUGCUGGUGUACGAGUACAUGCCCAACGGAAGCCUAGACUUCUUUAUCUUCGACCAAGAGAGAGGGCCCUUGUUGGACUGGAAAAAACGGCAACACAUAAUCGAAGGGAUCGCGCAGGGGCUCCUGUACCUCCACAAGCACUCAUGGGUGCGCAUCAUUCACCGGGACAUGAAGGCCAGCAACAUAUUGCUGGACAAAGAUCUCAGCCCCAAGAUCUCCGACUUCGGCAUGGCCAGGAUCUUCGGCUCAAACGUGAUGGAAGUCAACACCAACAGGGUUGUCGGCACCUACGGUUAUAUGGCACCUGAGUAUGCUUCGGAGGGCCUCUUCUCGGUCAAGUCUGACGUCUUCAGCUUUGGUGUGUUGCUGCUGGAGAUAGUGAGCGGCAAGAGGAACAGCAGCGGUCACGGCCAACACUAUGGAGAAUUUGUCAACCUCCUCAGCUACGUAAAAAAUGUCACAUCAGCAACCUAA
rnacentral:rRNA from 1 species